CCAGGGUUUUCUGUGUAGUAGUGAGUGAAUGACUGGAAUGAGUUGUGACUGUACAAAACCAACAAGUAUUCUAGUCUUUGUUCUGGGACUCUGUUGCUCUGUUGGAAGGUAGCUUCAAUACACCAGAGGGUAGAGAAUUCUAAGCUCUAUGUUCCUAUCUGAGCAGAGCUUCAGUGUCAAUGGGAAAGACAUAAAGCUUCAUGUCUUGGUUGUACUCAGGACUCGCUCUGUGUGUGUGUGUGUGUGUGUGUGUGUGUGUGUGUGUGUGUGUGUACAUUGUCCUCCACAAGUGUAGGGUUUAGAUUGUCGAAAGAAUGUGUGAAGUGUGUAGAUCAUCUCCACAAUUUUCAUUGUGAUUUCAUUCUAUGGAAUGUUUGCCACCGAGGAAACCACCAGAAAAACACGAUAUGACCACACUUUCAGCAGCACAUUAUUUGGGAAUAUUCCUUUCUAAUCUAAGGACAGAAAUUCUGUAGAUCUAUUGGUCCACUCUAACAAUAAUGUCUGCUCCAGAGAAAAGCUGUGCAGUAACCCCCCUCGGUCCUGCUCCAACACAACAACCCCUAAGGGUGUCCUUUCCCUGAUGUGUGACUGCCCCUUUGUAGUCCAUACACUGAACUGGGAGUGGAGCCUGACAGCACUGGAGGGUAAAAUGCCACGUAGUUCAUGGUACUUGAAUAGCCUUCCGGGUUGCUGUAAGCCUCACUUGGUUUCCAGCAUCCUGGGGGACCGAGAUGUACGGCAGACAGGAGACUUUUCAUAGUCUUUAUCUUCUCAUGUUCACUACUGACACUUUAUAAACCAUAUUCCAUUGGGAACCCUGGAUUAUCUGAUCCUUGAGAUCUGAUCCCGAGAGUUUGUACUAGAUUCCACCCAGCAUAAGUUAAAACUCGUGUUGUUUCUUGGUCUUAGAAGACCCACUCUCUGGUCUUCAAGUGAUUGAUAUGAGUGAGAGACUUGAAACACUGGAAGAGUGUCUCCUCAUCUGUUGCUAUCAGCAUAGUGCAAGUGUUCCGUUUUCCUUUCCUUCCUUGCUCCUCAUUGACUCAGUGCUGUCACCGAGGAUGAUGUUCCAGUAGCCACUCAAUCUAGCCUUUAAAGCACAGCCAUCUUGUUGUGUAAAUUAAGCAGUGCUCUCUAAGGAAGCCAUGGGCCACAGCACCAAUGAUUAACAGUCACUCUGUCUUCCUAGAAAUACAAGAUAUCCCAGACAUUAAACAUAUGAUUUUUAGAAAACAAGAGUUGGAACCUCAUGAUGAGAUGGCUUCCACCGUGGUACAGACUUAGGCUCCAUGGAAAAUCCCAAGAAGAACUGGGGUUAAUUUCAUGAGAACCAGUGUGGCUUCAUGUGAUACACUCCCCUCAGAUUAUGUAGCAGAUACAGUCCAGGUGGGGGAAACGGAUGUUGAACAACAACAACAACACCAAGACCUCACUAGUGAAGAGAAUCUUCCAGGUAAGUAACAAUGUUCUGUGGAGAUCAACAGGAAAGGGCUCAAGAAGCAGUCGGGUUGUACAUUCUGCUUGCCAGGCUGAAGCAGUGGGAAAGGCAUCAGUGAGAUGUAGGAGAUUUGUUUGAUUCUCCUUCCAGCCAUAGUGGUAAAGAGGAAUAGAAGCACACACACACACACACACACACACACACACACACACACAUGCACACACAGCCCACUGGCGAUUAAAAAUGAGCCAGAGAGUUGGGGGAAUGGCUUUUUAAACAAGAUCACUGAGUGCUCUACCAGAGGACGACUGGGAUUCCAAUCUCAGCACCCAUAUCGCUGUUCACAUCCCUCUGCAACUCCACUUUCAAGGCAUCUGAUGCUCUCCUCUGGUCUUGAUUGGCUCUGCAUGCAAGUAGUACACAGGCAUUUCCAGGCAACGGCUGAAAUACACUUACAACUAAAAGCAUUCUCCCCGCCUCUCUCAUUGCAAAGCUCCAAGCCUUUGACUGUAAUCAGUAGAUCUCCUUGUGCAUUGCUUGUUUGACAUCUGUGUCACUUCUGAUUGCUGGUUUGUGACAGAACUAUCAGUUGAGUACAACUCUCUGUAGUCUCUGAGAUGAACCUGAGUACAAAGGUCAUGAAGUAUGGGACCACUAUUGCAGAAGAAGGAAAUCCUCUUCCAGCUGGUCCUGCAGGAUUUAUCACAGCA